UCAGGUCGCUCAGUUGGAAGAGCAUUGGUCUGGUAUUCCAAAGGUCGUAGGUUCGAUUCCCAUGGAUGAA
rnacentral:tRNA from 1 species